UGCCAGCCGCCGCGGUAAUACAUAGGGUGCAAGCGUUGCUCGGAAUCACUGGGCGUAAAGCGUACGCAGGCGGUCUAGUAAGUUGGGUGUGAAAGCCCGGGGCUCAACCCCGGAACUGCAUUCAAAACUGCUAAACUUGAGUACGAGAGAGGAGAGCGGAAUUCCUGGUGUAGAGGUGAAAUUCGUAGAUAUCAGGAGGAACACCCGUGGCGAAAGCGGCUCUCUGGCUCGGUACUGACGCUCAUGUACGAAAGCGUGGGGAGCAAACAGGAUUAGAUA
rnacentral:rRNA from 1 species